AUUUUCUAUCCCUCUUUUUCUCUUCAAAGUUUAGAACAUCCACAAAUGCAUCUAUUCCGUUUGAUGCUACGUACUGACCCCUGUAGAAGCUUUCAAAGAUAACUUUCAAUGUGUAAACCCCAGUUUUUUACCGAUAAAGUUCAUCUCUGCCAGGCAAAAAAUAAAUAAUUUAUAUUGUUGUGUGUAUAUAUUUAGAUGUUUGUUAGUUGAUAUAAGCAUUUUUACUUACUCUAUGCCUGCAAAUGUAACAAAUGUAUAUCGGAUCACACUCAAUUCUUGAUUCAAGAGUGCUUCGUGGAUGUUUACCACUCUGUUCCAGUAAGGGGAACAAAAAGCGUCUCCAAGCUCUGCACAUCUUUUCUCAGCUCGAAUUUUGCCUGCUUCUAUUGUCUUAUAAAGGAGUUUAUUUAACCCUUUUGGUAGAACUUGUUUUGGAACUGGCUUUGGCUUUGAGUUUUUUCUUCCCCUAGUUGGUUUUUUUUCCUUAUUUUCUUCCACUCUGGGUCCUAGGCUCAAAAGCAGCUCAACAGACUACAAUUCCUCAGCCGUCACCUGAGGGCAUUCAACUCCCGGUUCCUUCUCAACUUCGAUACCCGAAUCGAUUCUGCCAAGUUCAUUGUUUCUUCGAUAACAGUUUCGUUUUCACCAGUUUCUGCAGGCCAAAGUGGUUUGUAAGUGUAUACGCCCGUUUCGACAGCUUGAAUGUUUGCAAUAAGGGUGUCUGUCACUCCUCCAUCAUCUUUAUUUGUCAAUCCUUCAUCAUCUGGCUGCAGUACCCAUAUAGAUACAAAUUAUUGAAUUUUAAUUCAUCAGAAUCAAAAUCGCAUGGUAUACAUGACAUUGUAUGCGAAAUCAAAUGUGAAGUGUUUGGCAGAAAUCGGAUGUGUUUUUUUAAGUAUCGCAUGUGUUUAAGAAAUAUUGAUUUUUAUCAUAAUUUCGCAUGUGUUAAUUUUUGAAAUCGCAUGUAUUACCUUCUGAUGCCAUUUCUACCAAAACAUUGCUUAUUACUUUUUGAGCUUCUUCAUCCUGUCUACCUUCUUCGUUUGUAGUAACUUCAUGAUGAACUUCAGAAGCUGGAUUUUCAGGCUCUUGAUGAAUAGGAGAGGGUGCAGUUUCAUUCUCUUGAAUCGAAUCAGGCGGCACACAAAUGGGAUUAUUCCGAAGCGUCUCAUCCCACUGCUUACAGGCCUCCAUAAUCUCCGGAUCCCAAAAACACUUAGUUCUUGCUUCUGAAACUAAGUUGUUCAUCCCUUGAACAUCUUGAACCAUUUUAAUGUAAUUUUUGACAUUGGCUUUCAUUUUUUUC